rnacentral:rRNA from 1 species
CCUCCCACCCGUGUAUACCGUACCUUGUUGCUUCGGCGAGCCCGCCCCCUUCUCGUUAGGGGGGCACAGCGCUCGCCGGAGACACCAACGUGAACACUGUCUGAAGUUUUGUCGUCUGAGUCGAUUGUAUCGCAAUCAGUUAAAACUUUCAACAAUGGAUCUCUUGGUUCCGGCAUCGAUGAAGAACGCAGCGAAAUGCGAUAAUUAAUGUGAAUUGCAGAAUUCAGUGAAUCAUCGAGUCUUUGAACGCACAUUGCACCCCCUGGUAUUCCGGGGGGUAUGCCUGUCCGAGCGUCAUUGCUGCCCUCAAGCACGGCUUGUGUGUUGGGUCGUCGUCCCCCCGGGGACGGGCCCGAAAGGCAGCGGCGGCACCGCGUCCGGUCCUCGAGCGUAUGGGGCUUUGUCACACCGCUCUUGUAGGCCCGGCCGGCUGCUGGCCGACGCUGAAAAGCAACCAACUAUUUCUCCAGGUUGACCUCGGAUCAGGUAGGGAUACCCGCUGAACUUAAGCAUAUCAAUAA